rnacentral:rRNA from 1 species
CCUACGGGUGGCAGCAGUGAGGAAUAUUGGUCAAUGGUCGGGAGACUGAACCAGCCAAGCCGCGUGAGGGAUGAAGGUACAGAGUAUCGUAAACCUCUUUUGUCAGGGAACAAAGGCGGGGACGUGUCCCCGGAUGAGUGUACCUGAAGAAAAAGCAUCGGCUAACUCCGUGCCAGCAGCCGCGGUAAUACGGAGGAUGCGAGCGUUAUCCGGAUUUAUUGGGUUUAAGGGGUGCGCAGGCGGUCUGUUAAGUCAGCGGUCAAAGCCCGGGGCUCAACCCCGGCCCGCCGUUGAAACUGGCAGUCUCGAGUGGGAGAGAAGGAUGGGGAAUGCGCGGGGUAGCGGGGAAAGGCAGAGAUACCGCGCAGAACUCCGAUGGCGAAGGCAGCAUGCCGGCUCCACACGGACGCUGAGGCACGAAAGCGGGGGUAUCGAACAGGAUUAGAUACCCCAGUAGUC